CGGCAACGGAUAUCUCGGCUCUCGCAUCGAUGAAGAACGUAGCGAAAUGCGAUACUUGGUGUGAAUUGCAGAAUCCCGUAAACCAUCGAGUCUUUGAACGCAAGUUGCGCCCGAAGCCAUCAGGCCGAGGGCACGCCUGCCUGGGCGUCACGCGCCGUUGCCCACC
rnacentral:rRNA from 1 species